rnacentral:rRNA from 1 species
CAGUAGCCACGGGAAUACGUAGGUGGCAAGCGUUGUCCGGAAUUAUUGGGCGUAAAGCGCGCGCAGGCGGAUCAGUCAGUCUGUCUUAAAAGUUCGGGGCUUAACCCCGUGAUGGGAUGGAAACUGCCAAUCUAGAGUAUCGGAGAGGAAAGUGGAAUUCCUAGUGUAGCGGUGAAAUGCGUAGAUAUUAGGAAGAACACCAGUGGCGAAGGCGACUUUCUGGACGAAAACUGACGCUGAGGCGCGAAAGCCAGGGGAGCGAACGGGAUUAGAUACCCCCGUAGUCCCUGUCUCUUAACAC